rnacentral:rRNA from 1 species
CUACGGGGGGCAGCAGUGGGGAAUAUUGGACAAUGGGGGAAACCCUGAUCCAGCAAUGCCGCGUGUGUGAAGAAGGCCUGCGGGUUGUAAAGCACUUUCGGUUGGGCGGACUGCUUCUAGCACUAAUAUUGUUGGAAGUUGACGUUACCUUCAGAAGAAGCACCGGCUAACUCCGUGCCAGCAGCCGCGGUAAUACGGAGGGUGCAAGCGUUAAUCGGAAUUACUGGGCGUAAAGCGCGCGUAGGCGGCUAGAUCAGUCGGGUGUGAAAGCCCCGGGCGUAACCUGGGAACUGCAUCCGAUACUGGCUAGCUUGAGUACAGGAGAGGAGAGUGGAAUUCCACAUGUAGCGGUGAAAUGCGUAGAUAUGUGGAGGAACACCAAUGGCGAAGGCAGCUCUCUGGCCUGAUACUGACGCUGAGGUGCGAAAGCGUGGGGAGCAGACAGGAUUAGAUACCCCCGUAGUC